rnacentral:rRNA from 1 species
GGGAACCAUACCUAUAUCUGGUUGCUUCGGCGGGAAGGGUCUCCCCGACCCUCCCGGCCUCCCGCUUCCGGGCGGGUCGGCGCCCGCCGGAGGAUAACCAAACUCUGAUUUAACGACGUUUCUUUUGAGUGGUACAAGCAAAUAAUCAAAAACUUUUAACAACGGAUCUCUUGGUUCUGGCAUCGAUGAAGAACGCAGCGAAAUGCGAUAAGUAAUGUGAAGGGCAGAUUUACAGCGAAUCAUCGAAUCUUUGAACGCACAUUGCGCCCGCCAGCAUUCUGGCGGGCAUGCCUGUUCGAGCGUCAUUUCAACCCUCAAGCUCUGCUUGGUGUUGGGGCCCACAGCUGAUGUAGGCCCUCAAAGGUAGUGGCGGACCCUCCCGGAGCCUCCUUUGCGUAGUAACUUUACGUCUCGCACUGGGAUCCGGAGGGACUCUUGCCGUAAAACCCCCCAAUUUUCCAAAGAUUGACCUCG